GCUUGUCUCAAAGAUUAAGCCAUGCAUGUGUAAGUAUAAACGAUCUAUACUGUGAAACUGCGAAUGGCUCAUUAUAUCAGUUAUAGUUUAUUUGAUAAUACUUUACUACUUGGAUAACCGUAGUAAUUCUAGAGCUAAUACAUGCGUAAAAUCCUGACUUUCUUGGAAGGGAUGUAUAUAUUAGAUCAAAACCAAACGGCUUCGGCCGUCUCAUUGGUGACUCUGAAUAACUUUGGGCUGAUCGUAUGGCCUUGUGCCGACGACGUUUCCUUCGAAGGUGUGCCCUAUCAACUGUCGACUGUGAUAUAGACGCUCACAGUGGUUUUGACGGGUAACGGGGAAUCAGGGUUCGAUUCCGGAGAGGGAGCCUUAAAAACGGCUACCACAUCCAAGGAAGGCAGCAGG
rnacentral:rRNA from 1 species